CUCGCCGUCGUCUCUGAUUUGCUUGGUGCAGGUCGGGAAGAGAAGACUGGCUCCUUCCGUUCGUCAGAUCGGAUCGGAUCGGAUUUGUUUUCUUUUCUUCCUGUUUUGCAUCAACCGAAUCGGAUACGGAUGCGACU
rnacentral:pre_miRNA from 1 species